CAACAACUCCCCACAAACACAGGUGGGAACAGGUUAGCUAAGUAUGGUUCUCAGUCAGAGACAACAACUACCCACAAACACAGGUGUGAACAGGUUAGCUAAGUAUGGUUCUCAAUCAGAGACAACAACUCCCCACAAACACAGGUGGGAACAGGUUAG